AUUGAACGCUGGCGGCAGGCCUAACACAUGCAAGUCGAGCGGAUGAAGGGAGCUUGCUCCUGGAUUCAGCGGCGGACGGGUGAGUAAUGCCUAGGAAUCUGCCUGGUAGUGGGGGAUAACGUCCGGAAACGGGCGCUAAUACCGCAUACGUCCUGAGGGAGAAAGUGGGGGAUCUUCGGACCUCACGCUAUCAGAUGAGCCUAGGUCGGAUUAGCUAGUUGGUGGGGUAAAGGCCUACCAAGGCGACGAUCCGUAACUGGUCUGAGAGGUUGAUCAGUCACACUGGAACUGAGACACGGUCCAGACUCCUACGGGAGGCAGCAGUGGGGAAUAUUGGACAAUGGGCGAAAGCCUGAUCCAGCCAUGCCGCGUGUGCGAAGAAGGUCUUCGGAUUGUAAAGCACUUUAAGUUGGGAGGAAGGGCAGUAAGUUAAUACCUUGCUGUUUUGACGUUACCAACAGAAUAAGCACCGGCUAACUUCGUG
rnacentral:rRNA from 1 species